GAGAGAUGGCAGCAAGCGGUACGUCUGACAAUGUCACAGCAGGGGGACUGACACUGUGGGCUUUUUAAUGUUCAUCUGAAAGAGUAAAAAAAAUGUUUGCGAUCCCACAAGCGCCUGUCAAACAUGCUUUACUGAAAAUGUAUUCAUAGAGCUGGCUCUGAUGUAAGCCUAAACAAAGCUCUGAAUGUUGCUUCCUACAGCAGCCUGUUGGUCUCCCUCGACAUGAUAGCUAUAGCAGAUAUUUAUUUCUUCCAUCUGGAUUUGUAUUUCUUUUCUACAUAUUUGACCCCAACAGCAGCAUCAUAUUUUAAAGAUAACAUGGGUCAGAGAGAAGAAGAGAUAAAUCUAGGGUUGUAUGGAUUUUUCAGUAUGCCAGAGUUGAUCGUGAAUGGAAAAAGAUCAAUCUAAAAGUGCAUAAUGGUCACAUUGCUCACCUGUCAUUGAAGCAAUAACCAAUCCAACACCACCAAGAAGAAGAAAAACAACCUUUACUAAAGUCCUCCAUCCUUAGUUAUUCUAUUCCAUUCUAGCAUUGUCCAUGUGCAGCUUAUAGUGAUAACACAGGAAUUACCAUCCACAUUUACAGGCUAGUUUUUAAUAUAGUGAUUACACCAUCUAGCUAGUUAGUCUAAACUGUGUUCUUUUGAGUAUGCUAACAAUGGUUAAUUUGUUUUAAAAGCAGAACUCUGUAAACACACACAUAUGUGAACAUCCCCACAAGUUGUGAUCCAUGUAGAAUACACUUCUUAGAGCUAGUAAGCCAUCAAUACAACACAGCAGGUCAUUUCUUGUUUUACCUUAAUCUCUGUUUGGAUACUUACUCAAGAAAACAUAGUUUACUUCGACAAGCAGCAAAGGUUAGAAUCAUGCAAUAUUAUUAUGUAUUUAAAAACAAAUUUUUACUGGAAACCAUGAUCUCUGUUGGGCAGAGGCGAACAAUCAGCUUAGGGUUACAAGGACACCGUUUUUUACGCUUACUUCAAAAUGCAAAUAACGACACUGUCAUUGACACUGAGCUAAUUUAAAGGGGUGACCAUCGUGAUGGACCAGUAAUGAAAAUCGAUGAAGGCAGCACGCUGUGGUGCAAAUAAAGGCAUACAUUUACGUGGGUGGCAGGCGUGCACGCACGUUGUGUCCUCAUCGGGAUGCAGACAAAGGUCGCAGGAAAUGCUGUCUCCCUCACCCUCUGUCUUACUCUGCUUUCACGCUGCCGCUCAUAUCAUCCAUCUAUCUGUUAUCCAGAGCAGCAGUUGCAUAUAGCUGCAUCAUCCCCUCCCCCCCGUCUGUCAUACUAAAAUGACCUUCACUAGCAAAACACAUGGCGGAGGAUGGAAAAGACAGAAGAGUGGCACGGAGAGAAAAAGGAGAAGAAGAGGAGGGAGGAGAUGUGGUCAAUUAAGAUCGCGGUCGAAAAUAGGCAAAGAUGAUGGAGGUCUAUGGGGAGGAGGAGAUGCAGUGUAAAUGGCAGAAGGAUGGACAAGAAACAAUAAUGUUUCCAUGAAGAAUGGAACAAAAGGUAAGUGGAAUGAUAGCACACUCACACAAAUAAAUCCUUGUUCUGCACAUCUGCUUUCUGCCUUUGCAUUAUCCCCCAUAAAGCAUUUUCAGGUAACACCUCUGUCCACAUCCAGUGGAAAUUAACCAGUGAUACAGAAGAUACAGUAUAUUCUACGAACAAAGAUAGUCAAGUCUCUCUUGGAAGAGCACUGUCUCAUGUGGAUGUAAUGACAGGGGGAUGAUUCACUGUGUCCAUGUGUGUUUGACCUUCUCUUUAACCUUGUUUAUCCCUGUUUCACUGCACUGAUGAUGAACACACGAAGGGGAGGGAGACUGAUGGAGAAAAAAAACAUGGAGGGAGGCAGUGCGGUUCAUCACUUCAGCAUCAAGAAAACCCAGAGAGGGGAUCUGUUGCUGCUGUUAACCGUGAGAGGAGGAGAGGAAACAAUAAGACAGAUAGCAGACUGCAUCCGCGGAGUGAAAGGGAACAGAUUUCUUCAUAAUAAUUAUAAUAAUGCAUAAUGUCCUUUGUGCAUAAUUUCCUUUGUGAAAAGGACAUGUCCUUUUCGAACACGCUUCAGUUUUUCAGGAAUUAUAAUGAAUCAGGUCAGAGGAAUGUGAGACACAAUUUGACACACUUUAGGGGCAAACAAACCUGUAUUUUGAACACUGCUUCUUUGCAUUUCUUCCGUGUCUUUUUAUUUGUCUGCCGGUGUAUUCCUCCUACUCAAUCACGGUUUGAGGAUGUGAGGUGACUUUACAUUUCCAGUGCAGUUUAUGUGUUGAUUGAUUGCAGCUAUAGUGAAAAACAUGUUGACUAAGUGUUUGAUAAUUACAACUUGCAUUAAUACCAUGUUUGUGGUAAGACGAUGGGAUUGAAAUGUCAAAGCAAAGCUACAUUUUCAUAUGCAGAGGUUAGUAUUUGAAGAACGUUAAUUACAGUGGAAAAGAUCCAUUCACUCUGACAGAAUUUGUUUUGGCUUUUGAAGCUUGUAAAUGUGUCUCUUGUGAGAGGGAUAACCAAAGGGUCAAAAAGAGCAGAAAGACAGAAAAGAGGCUUUAAUCUAGUGCAGGAUGUAUAAAGGUGAACCAACAUCACAACAAUCUCCCAUGGGUCAAGCAUGUCCCAAUAAGCCAGUGAUUCACUCCAAGCCUUUGUUCCUGUGCUCAUCAGCUGCUUCAGUACAUCAUCAGAGAGAUUAAAUAAACUGUGACAAAUGUGUCAUUAAAUUAGUGAAAGCCACCGAAACAGAACAUUUCAGAAGCUGCUGUUGAGGACAUGGUGCAGUUGGAAAUGCAAUUUUAAGACUGUUAUCCAGCGCGUGACGAAAUAGUCCAUAAGGGCACGAUCACACCAGACGCGCCUCUCAAAAACGCAUCGCCCGCAAAACCAUUGAUUCCCGAUGGUACGGCGCGACUUUUAGACGCGCCUUUUAAAUGCCACGCGGCGCGUUUUUUUGCCGUUUUUCAGGCGCGGUUAAAAGUUAAAACAUUCUCAACUUUAAGCGCGAGGCGCGCCGCUCAUCAAUGUCACACUCAGCCAAUGCAGCUAAUCUAAUCAAGCAGGAGGCGGGCUUUCCUUCCUGUUUUCCCGACGAGAACCUCAUAUUAGCGGUAUUUAAUUACGAAGGGCUUUAUAAUUCAAAUUUAAACACUACUCAAACUGACUCCUGCUCGGUCGGAAGUGCAACUGAAAGCGCUCGCCAUCAAGACACAAUUUGCGGAAUAUAUGGUGGUAUUCGCCGUACCCUUUCCUUUCUAUUUUUAAAAUAUCUUGAACCCAAAAUCAAUGAUUGGUUGCGCACGCAGGUCCGUUCCACAGGCGCACUGUUUUGCCCCACACGUUUUUGACAAGGCGUUUUUGGCGCGGCUGCGUUUUUUAGAGCCGCGUCUGGUGUGAUUGUGCCCUUAGUGUGUAAACCGCAUGCGAACACAAGAUCAUUACAACAUCAUUACAACAUCAUUGUCUACUAAAGAGAAACAGAAAGCACUCCAAACAGAUUGGUUAAUUCCCAUCACCUGCCCUCAGCCACUCCUCUGUCUCCUUGAUUGGUUAAUUCCCAUCACCUGCCCUCAGCCACUCCUCUGUCUCCUUGAUUGGUUAAUUCCCAUCACCUGCCCUCAGCCACUCCUCUGUCUCCUUGAUUGGUUAAUUCCCUACACCUGCCCUCAGCCACUCCCGUCUCCCUGAUUGUAUCUUGCCGUACACCUGUUUUUCCCCCUAUGUAUUGUGCCAGUCUCCUGUCGGUUUGUUGGCUUUUAUCUCAGGCUCGUAGUGUCGCUGUUUCGAUGUCUUACUCUCAGUCUUUGUUCCUAUGGUGAUGCCUAGUGUUUUUUGUUGUCGCUUUUAAGCCAGAGUUUUUAUGUUUUACCUUUUUCCAAAGUAAAGUGUUUUUUGUUUCACUCUGCACCUGGAGUCCAGCCUCUCUCUCUGCACCUGAGCAUCACCCGUGACAUGGUGAAUGUUUUCACACCCAUAAAGCUCACUAACUAACACAUAGUAUUUGCCCCUUCCUGUUAUCUAAGCUGAUAUAUGGUCUUAUUUGUGACUAAGGCACACAAGCAUAAGUCACAGUGGUACUAGCCCAGUGGACAUUUUCCAUCACACCUUUUAAUUAUUAAAUCCUUCAACAGAUUUAUACAGAACACAUUCCUCUUUCAGAAGACCACAAUUAUGUUUCUUGGUACAAAAUUACAAGGUAACCCGAUGGAGCAGCAUACCCUCCUCUUCCUCCUCCUCCUCAUGUACACUUACAUCAGCAGUUACAAAGUUUGCCUUGAGGUUUUAUCUCAAAUGAUAAAAAAGAAGCAAUCACCUUUGAACUUAUAUCUUAAAUCUGCAGUAUAUCUCUGGGGAAUCGCUAAUUGAAAACACAGAAUAGACAAGUGAAUGCUUGAAGACAUAAUGUCUCUUUUAUGUUUUUCUUCUUGUAAUUUACUGUGACGUGUUUUUGAUGUUUAGACGCCUUGAGAUAUUGAGUUCAAUUAGAAAUACAUUUUCUGUACUUAAAGCUCCCUUGCAAUAUGUUUAGAUGUUUGAAGGAGCAGCAGGAUGGCAGCUACACAUAUAUUGUUCUUUCUUUUCAGAUGAACAUAAUGUACAGGAAAAUUCAUUAGAUGACAUGGUGUUUUAUGAAAAGGAAUACAAACUUGAACUUGUUAUCAAUCUGCAUGAUUGCACAAAGCUGCUGUCAGCGUCAGCUCUGUCGAGUAAAGCAUCAAUCCGUCUCUUUUUAUGGUUUUUCAUUUUUACUGUCGCUUUCAUCAUAUUCCGAGCAAAAUGUGACAUCAUUUUGGGAUAUUUGGGAAUAAUCUUCCUUUUUAAUGUCUGUUUAUGUUGUGUGUGGAUGCUUUAAUCUCUUUUGUAUUAAGUAUUCUUUUAUCAUAUUAAAAGACGUGUUGUGCUUUGUUCAGGGAGGUGUUUUUCAAUAUCUAUACUCUGUACUCCAUAAUCAAUUGGAAUUUGUGUUAUUGGGCUUUUAAAAUAUUAUUUACUUAAUUGUCCUCCAUAAUGUGUUCUCAUUGUAAAUACAGACAAUAAAACAUCUCUUUUUUAUCUCUGUACUCGGUCCGGAGGAUAAAAUCCAUAGAGGAUUCGUUGUCUUUCAUGUUCCCUGUGUUAUAGUAAUGUACUGUAUCUUCAUAAUGUGUGUUAAUACAUAGGCAAUGAUGCAACACAAAAUAAGUCAAGGACAUAUUUGGACAUCACAGCUGUGAUUAUCUGAGGGAAGCUGCUUUUUAACCAUAUCUCCGUCUCUGUUGGAUAUUAAGAGAAGGAAAACAAAUGCUUUGGCGUAUUACAACUGACAUUCACACAUGACUUUAUGAGUGUAAAGUGGCCUGUUGAGUGGAGAAAGGAAGCACAAUGAACUCAUCAUGGAAAUACUGCUCUUUCGGUGUAAGAGUUGCACCAGCUGUCAGCCUUCAUCAUAUGCUGCUUACAUUAUUGAAUUCACUCAGUAGAAUAUUAUUAGAUGGCGUCACUCAGGCGUUAUAUUAUUCUACUAAAAAUAUAUUUUGGCAGCAUCCUGCAGAGUUCUCAGCCAUGAAGGGUAAACAAAGAUAAAGCCUUAAGAUUAGUUGAAAAUAAUCGAAGGGCCUUGAAAUCCGUAAACCUCAGCGCUCUCCCUUCAUCUGAUUUAAAGGAUCUUUGUCUGAUUUCAACUUGACAAGAUGUGUGAAAAUGACGGAUUAAAGAAUGUCAUCUUUUUGGUCUUAACGAGACCUUUUGGAGAAAAUUAAUCAAAAUGUCUGUGACUGUGUGUAAACUGUUUUUGUGCAGUGCCUACCUGUCAUCCUUAUCUUCUGAGGAAACGUCAUCUUUCAACACCCACAGUGUGUCUGUCACUGUCACUCACACUGUUUCAAUCAGAUCCAUCUUUCUUGGAGGAAGGAGUUGGUGUAUGUACCGUCAUAUAUUUAUGAUGUGAGAAUGAAGUCAAACGGAACAAGAAAUGUACCUCCUUUAAAGUGGACAGAGACGAAGGGCCAGUGUUCAUUUGGCACAACGAGACACAAUUUUUGAAAGACGGACAAAUUAAAUAAAUACUUAUUUGCCUGCAUCUGUGGAACCACACAUUGUAGCUCAUAACUAGUCAUCUUGCCUGUAAUAAUUUGGGGCCAGUAUAAGGUUGGAGGAAUAGAAGAAUUAUUCCAGGCCCAGGCUUUUGGUUUUUACAAUAAAGGAGGUAUUAAAUUGUUUUACACGUUUUACACCUUAAACUUAUUCGUGUACAUGUUGAAUACGAAUGGAUUUUUAACUUCAUACUCUCUGAUCAUGCAAUCAGUUCUUUGUGGAAAAAAGUAAUACAUUUAAUUUUCUGAUGUUUAGCUUUCAAAUUACUAGCUGUGUAAUAAAAGGUGUGACAUGAA